AGUGAACGCUGGCGGUAGGCCUAACACAUGCAAGUCGAACGGCAGCACAGUAAGAGCUUGCUCUUACGGGUGGCGAGUGGCGGACGGGUGAGGAAUACAUCGGAAUCUACUUUUUCGUGGGGGAUAACGUAGGGAAACUUACGCUAAUACCGCAUACGACCUACGGGUGAAAGCAGGGGAUCUUCGGACCUUGCGCGAUUGAAUGAGCCGAUGUCGGAUUAGCUAGUUGGCGGGGUAAAGGCCCACCAAGGCGACGAUCCGUAACUGGUCUGAGAGGAUGAUCAGCCACACUGGAACUGAGACACGGUCCAGACUCCUACGGGAGGCAGCAGUGGGGAAUAUUGGACAAUGGGCGCAAGCCUGAUCCAGCCAUACCGCGUGAGUGAAGAAGGCCUUCGGGUUGUAAAGCCCUUUUGUUGGGAAAGAAAAGCAGCAGGUUAAUACCCCGCUGUUCUGACGGUACCCAAAGAAUAAGCACCGGCUAACUUCGUG
rnacentral:rRNA from 1 species